GCCCCCGUAGGGCAGAACGGAAAGCCCGCCCCCUUCGCAAGGGGUAGGUCAUGGGUUCGAGUCCCAUCGGGGGCA
rnacentral:tRNA from 1 species